rnacentral:rRNA from 1 species
UGCAGUCGAACGAAGUCUUCGGACUUAGUGGCGGACGGGUGAGUAACGCGUGAGAAUCUGCCUUCAGGAUGGGGACAACAGUUGGAAACGACUGCUAAUACCCAAUAUGCCUACGGGUGAAACUUAUUUGGCCUGAAGAUGAGCUCGCGUCUGAUUAGCUAGUUGGUGGUGUAAUAGACUACCAAGGCGACGAUCAGUAGCUGGUCUGAGAGGAUGAGCAGCCACACUGGGACUGAAACACGGCCCAGACUCCUACGGGAGGCAGCAGUGGGGAAUUUUCCGCAAUGGGCGAAAGCCUGACGGAGCAAUACCGCGUGAGGGAGGAAGGUUUUUGGAUUGUAAACCUCUUUUCUCAGGGAAGAAUUUUGACGGUACCUGAGGAAUAAGCACCGGCUAACUCCGUGCCAGCAGCCGCGGUAAUACGGAGGGUGCAAGCGUUAUCCGGAAUUAUUGGGCGUAAAGAGUCCGUAGGUGGUCAUGCAAGUCUGCUGUCAAAGCCCACAGCUUAACUGUGGAUCGGCGGUGGAAACUGCAUGACUUGAGUACGGUAGGGGUAGAGGGAAUUCCCAGUGUAGCGGUGAAAUGCGUAGAUAUUGGGAAGAACACCGGUGGCGAAAGCGCUCUACUGGACCGUAACUGACACUGAGGGACGAAAGCUAAGGUAGCGAAAGGGAUUAGAUACCCCUGUAGUCUUAGCCGUAAACGAUGGAUACUAGGCGUUGUCUGUAUCGACCCGAGC